rnacentral:rRNA from 1 species
CUACGGGGGGCUGCAGUGAGGAAUUUUGCGCAAUGGGGGAAACCCUGACGCAGCAACGCCGCGUGAGCGAAGAAGGCCUUCGGGUCGUAAAGCUCUGUCAAGUGGGAAAAAAAUUCUUUGAUGAACAGUCAAAGGACUUGAUGGUACCACUGGAGGAAGCACCGGCUAACUCCGUGCCAGCAGCCGCGGUAAUACGGAGGGUGCAAGCGUUGUUCGGAAUUACUGGGCGUAAAGAGCGUGUAGGCGGUUUGACAAGUCAGAUGUGAAAGCCCCGGGCUCAACCCGGGAAGUGCAUUUGAAACUGUUUCACUAGAGUAUGGGAGAGGAGAUUGGAAUUCCUGGUGUAGAGGUGACAUUCGUAGAUAUCAGGAGGAACACCCGUGGCGAAGGCGAUUCUCUGGACCAAUACUGACGCUGAGACGCGAAAGCGUGGGGAGCAAAUAGGAUUAGAUACCCCGGUAGUC